GGAAAACAAUAUGAGAGGCCUGGCUCUGGAUGCAGUAAUCUGGUGUUAAUUUCCAAAGUGUGACUCCCUAAUAAACAGCCUGCACACUAACCUCCGUCUCAGCAUCUGUUUUCCUGGGAACCCAACCUGGAACCACUGUAUGCAUAGGAUGAAUAUGAAAGGACCACAUCCCAAACUUGUCCCCUUGAGUUACAGAUGGCAUUAGAAGUGGAACCCAAAGUAGAGCCUCUUGCAACCCCCAGAAGCACCAAGAGACCAAGAAAAAUACCUACCAGGCCCAUUGUGUUCAUUGCUCUCUUGCAGAAACUGGUGA
rnacentral:lncRNA from 1 species